rnacentral:rRNA from 1 species
CAGUCGCCGCGGGAAUACAUAGGGUGCGAGCGUUAAUCGGAUUUACUGGGCGUAAAGCGUGCGUAGGCGGCUUCUUAAGUCGGAUGUGAAAUCCCUGAGCUUAACUUAGGAAUUGCAUUCGAUACUGGGAAGCUAGAGUAUGGGAGAGGAUGGUAGAAUUCCAGGUGUAGCGGUGAAAUGCGUAGAGAUCUGGAGGAAUACCGAUGGCGAAGGCAGCCAUCUGGCCUAAUACUGACGCUGAGGUACGAAAGCAUGUGGAGCAAACAGGAUUAGAUACCCCCGUAGUCCCUGUCUCUUAUAA